rnacentral:rRNA from 1 species
UACGGGGGGGGGCAAGCGUUGUUCGGAAUUACUGGGCGUAAAGGGCUCGUAGGCGGCCAACUAAGUCCGACGUGAAAUCCCCAGGCUUAACCUGGGAACUGCGUCGGAUACUGGAUGGCUUGAAUUCGGGAGAGGGAUGCAGAAUUCCAGGUGUAGCGGUGAAAUUCGUAGAUAUUCGGAAGAACACCAGUGGCGAAGGCGACACACUGGCCCGUAACUGACGCUGAGGCGCGAAAGCGUGGGGAGCAAACAGG